UAAUUACCACCUCCUCGUUAACCCCGCAGGGCUGGAGAUGGAAACUCCCUCAUUAACACCAUCCAAGAAAAUGAAUUCCUCCUCCGCAGCCGACAAAUACAACCUGAAACCCGUCCCCAUCAAAAGGCAAAACACUUCUUCGCUUUGCGGGGAAAAUCCUCCGGCUGA